ensembl:lncRNA
UUCUGUUACAAUGUUUGUGGAUUACCUUUUGCCUUUGUUUUCUGCUUGUUGCUCUGUUUUUGGAUCAUUGUUUUUUGUGGAUUAAUAAACUGCACUUGGAUCUUAUAUGUUUUUCGACGAGUGAUCCGUGACAGAAUACUGAAGCCAGUAUCAGAUCCAGCAGUUGAGCAGUGUUCUCUGUUUUUCCUUUGAACCAUGGGAAUUCAUAUUCUUCCUCCAGUUACUAGCAAGGAGCGGAUGGCACGAUUUCGGUCCUUGUUGGCUCUGUGCCAGCAGGGGAUGGAGGUUGAGGUUUCUCCCAGUUUUUCUGGACUUUAGUGGUGGGGCUAGAUUACAAUGAUGUGGCGCUCAAGGAUUUUUUUUAAUGGUUGCCUGUAUAAACCUCGGCCCCAGUGUGAGAUGGAAGCACUUCAGACUCUGGAUUAUUGGGGUUUUGUUAACUAUCUCUGUUACCGCAGUUUAGUUACCGCAGUUUGGUAUCACCAGAUCAGUCUGAUCCCAUUGCAGUGCCCCCGGAGAUGCCAAAAUCCGCUGUAACAUCUCCAGAGAACAGUGAAGCUUUCCUAUCUCUGCCCCGUAAACGUAGGGUGAGAAGGAGAACGGCAGUUAAGUCUGCUCCUGUGGUCCCAAAUCUGGUGGUCCUGGUGGACCCGACUACGGUGGUCCUGAAGUUCACUCCAUAACACACUCCAAUCCAAAAGUUCACAGAAUCCACUCCAGAGCCUGCUCCAGUCCGGGAGCCCUCAGAGUCCACUCUAGAAGGCUGGCUGUCCGAGUCCACUCCAGUGCCUACUCUAGUCUAUGAGUUUACUCCCGAUCCCACUCAAGUUUGAGUUCACUCCAGCACUCACUCCAGUCCAGGAGUCCAUUCCUGAGACUGCUUCAGUUCCUCCCCGGGUGGCGAUGUUUGCUGCAGAGCUUCCAGUGGUGGCAGGGGUGUUCAAUUUAGCUCCUCUCAAGACAAGGGUGUCCAUUUAUUAACUCUUUAUUUAUCCUGAUGAGGUGAACUGUCUGUCUACCCUGUUACGUUCAAGGAGACCAUUGCUGAGCUGUUUGUCUGUCCUUUGCGGCCAUCAAGUCUGUUACCUCUAAGCUCUCUAUUGAAGUCCUGCCUGAGCUGCUAGGGGGGGUCAUCUGCUUUGUCAGCUCUGCUGAGGUGGUCUUCAGCUCCACCCCUGCUGCCUGACAAGCUCCUGGCUCCACCUUGGUCGCCCGCCAGGGUUUCUGUUUUGCCAGAGCAUCGCUGGUUCGUCCUGCCAGGCCCGCCCUGGCCUCCUGCACUGUCCUGGCCUUCUGUUCUAACACGGGCCUAGCCCGCCAUCCCUCCCCCUGAUCCACCUCCGUUCUGCCUCCCUCCUGGAUUUCUUUGACUUUAUUUGGAGUGUCUGGAAUCUGCUCCUUAAAGCGGGGGUCAUGUCACAGCCAUCUGCUGGAGUGCCCUUGCCAGUCAUCAGAGGGCACUCUUCUGGACUGUUGUUUGUGUUCCCGACUUCAGUUCCCAUCACCCCUUGCACUUAGUUCUCAUGUGUGUCAUUUAGUCUCAUUAGUUCCCCUAUAUAUACACCAUGUUCUGUUAGCCCUUGUUUGCUUCAGUAUUGUUUUGUUACGCUGUUUGUGGAUUACCUUUUGCCUUUGUUUUCUGCUUGUUGCUCUGUUUUUCGAUCUUUGUUUUUUCUGUGGAUUAAUA